UUAGCUCAGCGGAUAGAGCAACGGAUUCCGAUUCCGUAGGCCGGGGGUUCAAAUCCCUUA
rnacentral:tRNA from 1 species